AGUUAUGUUGACCUACGGUUAAGCACUUUUACAGGUGGGUGCUCCAAUUUCUCAGAGGUUUUGUGCUAAUUGCCAGUAUUGCUCUUUCAGUCACCUUUUUAUCUGUUAGAUUUGGUUUAUUUGUUAACUUCAAACAAUCAUAUUAUCGCCUAUUAAUUUUUGUUCGAUGGCCUAUUUUGCUUCAUGUGUUUGACCUUUAUUGGCUCGAUCAGAAACUCUUUUUCAAUCAACUUGGCUUGCACUGCGUUAACCUACCACUACUACAGGUUCCACUACUGUGGCUAUUUUUAUUAUUAUUUUAUCUGUUAUUGUUGUUGUUGCUGUCCGUGAUGAGAGUAAACUAUUAUGAAACCUAUUGCAGAAUAGAUAGAAGAGUUUUUUGGCCAUAGGACAUUUUUACAUCGGCCACAUUUUAACGUAACACAACAGAAAGGUACAAACGCAGAAGAAGAUCAUCACAGUCAUGGCGGAGGAGGAUGAACUGUAUAACUUCCUUCGCAAUCGUGGAGUGCCAGAGGACACGUUAAAUCGCAUGAUUGAGCAAAAGAUUGACCACUCAACAGUAAUAACAAUGGAUGACAACACAUUGGAGAGAUUCCUGCCAGCCCUUGGUGAUAGGGUUGCAUUAAGGCAUUACUGUGACAAUGGCAACCACGUUAAGCAAUCUAGAAAACUAAGUCUUGUAGAAAAACUAAGGAAGAAAAUGAAGCUUGGACAUGCCUCAAACUUCUCAGAGGAUGCCGGUGAAAAGGAGGAAUGUGGGAGCACAAGAAAGUCAAUGAUUGGAAACAAAAAUGCUUACAAAGACACAAGACGGAUUGAACUUGGAUGGAUACACAAUGGAAAACAAGUUCGAACAAAAUGUGGUGGUGGGACAAGAAAGCUGUCUGUUCCGAAAACUGCUGGUUAUGAUGACCUCAUCGAGCUGGGAAAGGAGUUUUUUUUUCCUCGGGGGCAGUCAAAGAAAGGUCCUCAAGUCAGUUUCUCUUUCAAAAUAUAUGAUUUUCAAGAGUGUGAAAUGCCCCAUGAUAUCACUGUAGGAGGGCUGUAUGUUCCAGACUGUCAGUUCUCUUUGUUGAUGAAUGUGGCAUUGAUGCAUCUGGUGUUGCCCGGGAUGCAUAUUCAGGAUUUUGGGAAGCUUUUUUCCUGAAUUGUGCAGAUGGGGAAACUGACUGUGUCCCAGCACUUCAGCCUGAGUAUGGAAAAGAAGAAUGGGAGGCAGUAGGUAGAAUUCUACUAAAAGGGUACCAGGAUCAUGGAUUCUUUCCAGUGAAGCUGUCUUUGGCCUUUGCAGUCUGUCUCCUUCAUGGGGAGAACAAAGUGACACCAGACAUGCUGAUUGAAUCUUUUCUGAGGUUUGUCACGCCAUUUGAGAAAGACAUCAUCAGCUCUGUGCUGGAAGGAAGAGAGUAUGACAUGGAUGACCUACUCGACAUACUUUCCAGAAUGGGUGGGCACGCUGUACCUGAUGGAGAUGCCAUAAAGGACACCAUCAUACAGACUGCGCACAAACAACUAAUACAGGAGCCAAUGUAUGCUCUUAAAAUGAUGGCUGCUAGUGCUCAGUGUACUUUAAAAAGUCUGCUUCCAACUGUGUCUGCAGUUUUAGCACUUUAUGAAUCCAAAAUUCCAACACCAAAAGGCAUUAUUGCGUUGCUUAAACCCAAUGAGAAACAACCUUCUCACAGCAAAACAAUGCAGUUUUUAAAGCUGUUCAUUCGAUCACUUGACAAAGAUAAACUGCGUAAAUUUCUGCGCUUUACCACUGGGGCUGAUGUUAUUUGUGUUUCACACAUUGAUGUUGAGUUUACAGAUGUCAGAGGUUUACAAAGGUGUCCAGUGGCACAUACAUGUGGUCCACUGUUGCAGAUACCCUGCACUUACAGUACCUACUCUGAAUUUCGAAGAGAGUUUGGGAGUGUCUUAGAUGCCAACUACUUGAAAAUGGAUCUGUUGUAAAGCUUACAAUAGCUUGUAAGGUAAAUUAUGUGCAUGUCCAGCUAAACUACAUUUUGAAAAUGUUCUCCAGGUAUGGCAGUGGUAAAGGCUUAUAUAUUGUGUUCAUUUGUGUUGUAUGGGACAAACUUAAAGACAUCAUGGGUCUAAUAAGACAUUUCUGUUUUGAAAACCAUACAUUGUCAAACAUUUCUUUUUGUUGGCCUUAGACAUUUCAGUGUUACCUAAAUAUGAGUCCCAGAAGUUCAUGUUACAAUCCCACUAGUGUUUUAAUAUGUACCAGUUGUGUUCUUAUAAGGCAGUUUUAGAAUUUAUUUGAACCAGGAAUACAGAUGGCCUACCUGCAAUACUAUUUCAUCUUGUGUUAUAUGACCUUAUGUCAGUACCUCUUGGUAAAUAAAUAGGCUGUCUUUGAA